rnacentral:lncRNA from 1 species
GUGGUGGCACACACCUUUAAUCCCAGCACUCAGGAAGCAGAGGCAGGCGGAUUUCUGAGUUCGAGGCCAGCCUGGUCUACAGAGUGAGUUCCAGGACAGCCAGGGCUACACAGAGAAACCCUGUCAUGAAAAACCAAAAAAAAAAAAAAAUUACUUAUAUGUGAAUGAAUGUUUGCCUGCAUGUAUAUAUUUGUACCGUGUGUGUGCCUGGUACUCACUAAGACCAGAGAGGGCAUUGGAUGCUCUAGAGCUGGCAUUAGAGAUGGGGACGAGCCUCCAAUGGAUCCUGGGACCCGAACUUCUGCAAAAGCAACCAGUGUUUUUAACCGCUAAGCCAUCUCUCCAUGUUUUUUUUUUUUUUUAAAGGUGGGUUUUGGAAUUGAAAUUUAUGUUCUCAUGCUUGUAAGGUAACUAUUACUAACUGAGCCAUCUUAACCCUCUUGGUUUUAUUUUUACAUUUUAAUUAUAUUUUAGGAUUUUAUGUACCAGUGCAUUUAAUUUUCAUUAUGCCCAUCCUUCCUUCCUCCCCUCCAAUUCCUCCCCUGUCUUCCCACAUGUGUGUAUGACAUAUAUAUAUAUAUGACAUGUGUACACACACAUAUAUAUGUAUGUGUGUUUGUGUGUGUGUAUGUAUGAAUAGCAUGUAUAUGCUAUCCACCCUUCUGAGUCUGACUAGUAUUGUUCAUAUGUACAUGGGUGUAGCACUGACUUUUGGGGUAUGGGCCAUAUAGCAAUGAGCUUGUCCGUGAAAAAAAUUGACUCUCCCUUCUUCUAAUGCCACUGGCUCCCUGUAGCUCUUAACUAAAAAUAAGGCCUUGUUAGCUUUUUCCAUACCCAUGCUUGGAUGUCAACUGCUUUGGUGUUGUAGGCAACCCUACUAUGGAGUUCCUUUGAUUUCCAAAAGAAACUAUUUUGAUGCAGCUCCCUGGUGCUCUGGCCCCCUUUCUUUUUUCUGCCACUUCUUCCCAGAUGUCUCUGAGCCUUCAGUGGAGUCAUUGUCUUACAGAUGCAGUAGGCACUACACAGUCCCUUUUUCUGCAGUUUGACCAGUCAUGCUUCCUGUAACUACCUCCAUCUAAUACAGAAACUUGUUUUAGAGGGUAAGAGCUACAGUUGUUGAAGGACGAGUAUUUAGAAGGCAGUUGCAUACUGUAUCAAUUUAGCAGAAUGUUAACGGAGCAACCCAGCCUGGAGAGAGGAGUCCCCUGUAGCAGCAGUGGCACCAGCAUCUUGAGAGUGACUAAGAGCUGUCUGGUUAAACUUAAGACCCAUUCAGUAAGCGGGAACUCAGGCCUGGGAAUAUAUAUAUUCCCAUGUACACACACACACACACACACACACACACACACACACACACACACAUAUUCAAGACCCCAUUGAUGGAAAGGUCAUAGGCCCUAGAGGAAAAGCUGCAAGAACUUCCCUCAUUUAUGUAAGUAACAUUUAUAAGUAUUUUAAUAUUCUUGUAUACUUUGAAUUCAAGUUUGUAUCCUGACAGAUUUUCAGAUUUUCUAUCAGUGCAGAGAAGAUACUGCUUGAACAUCAAAGUUUUAAUAAGGAAAUUUGGCUAUUUGAAUCAUGCACAGUAUUAGCGCCAGCAGAGUAUCUCAGGAGGUAAAAGUGCUUGCUGCAGAAGGUUGACCUGAUUGCAACCCUUGGAAGCCACAUAGUGGAAGGUGCAGGCACGGCGUGGGCCAUGUGCACCCCACACCUAUAACCAUGCCCACACAAUACAUUUAGUUAAUCAAAAUAAGUAAAUAGUGGACAUACUAUAGUAAAAACUACAUCUAUGUGUUCUGAAAGACAGCUUGCCCUCAUUUCUUCUGAAUGUUCUCAGAAAGUAUUACCCAGAAUCCUCUCUUGUAUCUAUGUGGUCCCCUCUUUUCUACUUUUCAAAAUUAAUUUUGGUAAGAUGAAGUAAUUUUGGAAAUUGGCAGAAUAUUAAGUGACAAGGCAUGUGAGCUAUCUCCCAUCUCCACCAGCUGGUGCAUCACUAAAGCAGAGGAGUCAAGGAGAAAGUGUAUUCUUACAGAUUGUGAAAGAGCAAGUAGUUGUUGGUAGGCUAACAUGGAAGCCCUUGUGUUACUAUGGACGAAGCUCUAACCAAAGUGCAUGGCUUGGAGUCGCUGCCUUCAUCUCUGAUGUUGCCUCCAGAAUUAACUAAAGAAGUGUGAACCCGAGUGAGUUCCCUCGUAGAGUCGGAAUUCAGACCUUAGAGUUUCCAAUCAGGGAGCCCAGAGUUAAAUGUGGGCUUUGCUGCUUAAGGAUUUGUGACCUGCCUGGACUCUUUGAGCCCCUCAUGUCUCCAUUGCCUUUAUUGUAAGGGAGGUAAGGGUGACUGGGGAGUGGAACAGGAAGUGGAGUGCACUGUGCCUUCCAAGGAAGUGCAUAUAAAAUACCAUAAUUAAAGUGCAUCUUACCAUAAUUUAAAAUCACAAGUUAUAAACUUAAAUUUCUUCCUUUGUUUAUUGUGACUACUAGAAGUUGUGAGGUUGACUUAAAAUAAGUAAGUUAAGUAAUGCAUUUAUUAAAGUAUUAUAAACCUUUAUUUAGUAGUAUGUGCGCUUAUGGUUCAUUUUAAGAAUAUUGCCAUUUGUUAUGCUUUUUGUAGCUUCUUUGAUUUUAUGUUGACCAAAGAUAUAUCAAUUAUCUCACUACUUGAAAUUCAUCUUUGAGAUCUUAAAGUCACGUGCCUGGGAUGUAAAUCUUCCCAUUCUACACUGCUAAUUAAAACAGCAUUAGGCUUCAAAGCGCUCAGCGACAAGAAUUCAAUCAAAUUAGUCACACACAUAUAGACAUUUAUAACACUAACCUACUCAAAUUUUUUUGCUAAAUAAUGACCAUUUUAUUUUCUCUUACUGUAAUUUAUUUUUGAGUCUGGGUGUCUCCAUGCUGCGGAGGCAGCCCUUUAACUUGUGACUCUCCUGCAUCUGUCAGCAGAGUAGCUGGGAUUGCAGAUGUGUGCCAUGUGGCCCUGAAAUGAUUGUUGCAAGGUAGCAUUGAUCUAGAAUAAAGUCGAAUCUUGUUCUUCUAAUUCUGUGGAUAUUUUUGACACAAAUAUUGACC